UGAUAACUGCGUAUUCCCGGGGCAGGAAGUACUGGUGGAUCCCAUGGUUGCUGUCGAUGAAGGGCUGCAGGGACAGAGAGGGCGGUCAGCAGACGGGAGUAGCUGACAAUGGUUCUGCUCCGUGGUGAUCCCGCCAGGAUCCAUCAGUGGAAGGCUCUGGACACUAGAGAGCAGUGUGAGGAUUCCCACAUAGCAGUGAACGCAUCUACAGCUCCGGGACUGCCGGGAGCACCGACAGGGCUCCAGGACUGCCAGGAGCACUGACACAGCUCCAGGCCAGGGAAACACCUGAGUGUGGAGUGACUGUGUUAUAAUGUCCAGAGGAGACCCGUACCAGCACGAUGAUCCAGAGGGUGUAGUAAACAAACAGGACGAGGCUGAAGGCGACCAAGCCGAACCCAACCAGCUGGUCCGUCGCUGUGGCCUGUGAAGGGAGAGAGGGAGUUAGAGCGGGAUCGGGACGGCAGCGCCUGUGCAGGAGCCGCCGACAGCACCUGACCUUUGUUAUGUCACCAGGGGCCCGGGACACCGCGGGGAUGGGACAUCCAGGGGAUGGGACACCGUGGGGCCGGGGCCGCUACGGCAGGACAACCCAGCGGGGGCUGCAGGGGCCGCCCGGCCCCUGUAACUGGGAGUCUCCCGAGCCAGCUCACACUCCGCAUCCUCGUCCCAGGCCACCCAAGCACCGACCCCGCCGGCCUCGGGAGGCGGCCGGGCCCGGGCUCUCCGCGGGGGCGGCAGCCAUGGGGACCCCGCGCGGGCUCCCGGCCACGAAUCAGCUCAAGCCCCCCGUGGUCCCGCGCCAAGCAGGGAGGGUGUGGGCGCGGGAGGAGCCCCGGGUGCGGGCGGAGGAGCCCCGGGGUGCCGAUCCCCCCUCACGCCGCCGCGGCCCUGCCCGCACUCACCAUGGCGCCCCGGCCGCUCCCCGCCGGCACCGCCCCUUCCGGAGGGCCCACCAAUCAGCGCGCGGUCCGACAGCCCCGCCCGUCCCGCGCCCAAUCGGCGGGGGUGGCUGGGGGCGCGCGGCGCUGGGCGGGGCGUGUGGGAGGCCCCGCCCCCGCCUCAAUCACUCCCCAAAUCCAGGGAACGCCCCCAAAUCCGGGGAAUGCAGGGAUUACCCGGGCCUGGCACGGGGGUAACGCCUGAUGGGCCGGCAGCGCUCCUGCCUUCCCUGUCCCUCCUGCGCGACUCGGAUCCCUUCCACAGCUCCGAGCUCCCGGUGCCAGGGGAUGAACCUCCUUCGUGAACAGGGUGCAUCCCGCGGGACACUGACACCCUGCGCCCCGGCCGUUCCUCCAAACACUCGCAGGGAAAAGCGAGACCCAGCAGCCGAGGGACACAAGGGAUGGGAUCGGCUGCCUUCCCUACACGAAACGAGGGAAAGGGGAAGACCCUGCUCGGGACUCAAAAGGUGCAGCUGAGGGUUCGGGCAGGUGCAAAAGGCGAAGCUAAAGCCCUUUCCUGGCAGGGGCCCUGGUCCCUUCCAGCCUUGUCCAACAUCAGCAGUAUCUGGGCACUGAAGUUGGCUCGCCCUCCUUUAGGGGGAUGGCCAGCCUGUGGUGGCAGAGGGGCUGCUCUGGCACAAGCCACAAAAACCCAGAGAAUUCCACUCAGUUUCCUGGAGCCUGUGGGGCUGUGGUUCCUUCCCCCGGGCCAGCCUGGGAACAGAGCAGGACAGGGGAGAUCGAACAGAACCUGGCUGGGAGACGGCAUUCAGGAACAAGGGACACUUGCUGGCAACUCGGCCAGGUCACCUUUCCCUGGGAUUGCUGCUUCCACGGGACUAGAGCUGUGCUGCCAGCUCCCCUCUCCAUCUGCAGAGAAGGGCUGGCAGGGAUCUCUGCUCCCAGCUGCCAAAGCAAUCCUAGAAGGCAAAGCCAAAUCCUAUUCCAAGCCCCAGCACGCCCUUCUCAACCUCCUGCUUCCUCAGCAGACAUUUAAAUGCAUUUAAAAACAAGAAACAGAACAAGGACAAUCAGUGUGAAGUACCAAAAACCUUUAUUUUUUUUUUCCCCCAAAACCAUAACAACAUUUGACAUUAUAUUGAUUUCCUCAUAUAUUUGUUAUUUCUCUACGUUAGGAACCAGAUACAGAAAAUACAAACACGAUCUGUUGAAUCAAAGACGGCACAGCAUUCCGUUAGAAAAAAAGAAACAAAAAAACUAGAGGAGCAAGAUAAAAAUGGUGAAAAAUAGUCAUUCCCUCCAGCCCAAACUUUCCAAGAAUCAUCAUCAAAAUAGAGCAGUGGAAGUAGCUUCUCUUUCUAAACGCACUUCUGCUUUAAGAAAAAAGUUAGAUUCAUCUUUAGAUUUCAAAGUAAAAAAAAUGUUAAACUAUCUUUUCAAGCAAUUUUGGAAGUUUGCAUAGACCCAUUCCCUUUCCAAAAAUAUCAGCCAUCUCUCUUAUAGAAUCUGAUACAAAUUGAGUGCGCGCCUCAGCCGAAGGUCACCGAGCUCAAUUCACUUUCAAGAAAAUAAAACACCAUCUCCCCCUUCUUUUCCCCCCCCUCCCCCCACAAAAAUAUGGGCUCUCUCAAACUCCUUGUGUUUGAGGCAGGUCACGAGGCUCAGCCGCACCUCUCGCUCGGAGCUUCACCCAAAUUCCUUUUCAUUUCCCAGGUUUCCACGUCCCCCACGGGGCGGGGGCGACUGUGGAGGGCAGUGGGCUUGGAUGGCAUGGGGUGGGGGGGCUGAUGAACACGGCUCUCAGGAGGGGAGUGGGGGGAGGAAUUCUGUAUUCAUCACCCCCCCCCAGCGAGGAAGUGGCUUUUCAAAGGACAAACAGCUGCGACCAGGCAGUGUUUGUAGGAACCUGUCCCUGGGGACUGGCCUUGUCCACAGGGCGCAGUCACCAGAGCAAGAACUCAGCUAGAGACCAGGUAGGGCAGCAGGGAUGGGGCAGGAGGGGCAGAGGGGGGUCUGCAGCCCCCAGGUAAGGCAGUGAGGAGGGGAGGGGGCCCCUCGCCAGGAGGGGUUUAUCCGAGGUGCUCUAGCGUACCUGGAGUGAGGUUUUCCCAGAGGAUCCCGGCAGCGGUGCAGAGCCCAGCUGCACUGCCACCGGUUUAAAAAGAAAACAGCAACGACAAAAUAAAUAAAAAAAAAAAAAAGAAAGUCAACCCCUCCUAUUCAGAUGAGAAUGAAAUACCUAUUUCUUCAGGUCUCGGCCUGGUUCGGAACCCUCUAAAAACUGAAGCAAACGUUUAAAAGGGCUUGUUAACUUUCUGCAGGGGGCGAAGUGAUGUGGCAAUGAGGGGGGAGGGAGAAAUCACACGCCUGCUGCCCAUCACUCUGAGGGUCAGGACAGCAUGAGGCCCCUGCUUAAGGUGCUGACCAUACAGAAGAUGAUGGAGGAGCAACAUCCUUCUCCCCCUUUUUCCAAUCACAAUUUCCAAUUGAAACCCAUCUCCUUCACUAAGUCAUGGCUAAGCCUAUUCUUUUGGACAUUCACUCAGUUUUAUAUCGGUUUUAAAAAAAGAAAAGUUAGUAAAAAAGUUACAUUGAAUUUCCUAACACUUUGCAAUGGGCUUCCACCAGCUAAAGGUCCAGAAACUGGGAGAGCAGAGCCCACACAUUUUGCCUGGCCCCCUAGACUGGAGCAGAGAGCCAGCUCUGCCCUCCAGAGCCAGCCAGGCAUGAGCAGCCCUGCUCAUCAGCAUCAGAGACCCAGGGGAUGCAGAGUCUUGCCAAUAAGGUCCUUUUACUUGUUUAAGCCACCUCUGAAUCCCCUGAGAAGGGGAACAAUGUGGGGAAGAACAUCCCCCCCCUCAGCCCCCCUGAAAUAAAA